AGCGAACGCUGGCGGCAGGCUUAACACAUGCAAGUCGAGCGGGCAUCUUCGGAUGUCAGCGGCAGACGGGUGAGUAACACGUGGGAACGUACCCUUCGGUUCGGAACAACUCUGGGAAACUGGAGCUAAUACCGGAUACGCCCUUAUGGGGAAAGGUUUACUGCCGAAGGAUCGGCCCGCGUCUGAUUAGCUAGUUGGUGGGGUAACGGCCUACCAAGGCGACGAUCAGUAGCUGGUCUGAGAGGAUGAUCAGCCACACUGGGACUGAGACACGGCCCAGACUCCUACGGGAGGCAGCAGUGGGGAAUAUUGGACAAUGGGCGCAAGCCUGAUCCAGCCAUGCCGCGUGAGUGACGAAGGCCUUAGGGUUGUAAAGCCCUUUUGUCCGGGACGAUAAUGACGGUACCGGAAGAAUAAGCCCCGGCUAACUUCGUG
rnacentral:rRNA from 1 species